rnacentral:misc_RNA from 1 species
AACAAGGCGUACCUGCGGACCUGCGGAAGGAUCAUUACAGAGUGUUUAACCCCCUAUAAAAUGGUGGGUCUAACCUCCCGUCCUUUGCUGGGUCCCCCUUCUGGAGGACUUUCAAAACUUUCUGCUUCGGCGGGGUAUACCCGCCGGAACACCCUCAAAAAAUUCUUGAUCAAAAUGGUUCGGUCCGAGAAACUUUUUGUGAAAAUUAGCGAAAAACUUUCAACAAUGGAUCUCAGAUCG